ensembl:lncRNA
CAUGUUAAAAUGAGGAAAAUAUUGCUUUACAUCUGAUACAACUCUAUAACCAUCCAUCUUAUUAUGUUUGAUGUUUAGCAGAACACAUUUCUGGAGUUGGAAACUGACAUCACUGUUCAUCGCACUGUAUUUGAGCAGCCAGGAUGAAGAUACAGACAUACACUGACACUGGGGAGAUUUUUGCAUUUUGAUCUGUAAAACAGCAUUCAGGCUGUGUUGGGAAGUAUCCAGGAAUCCAGAUCUAGUCUCAUCAUUAACAAGCUGCUGGUGCUCUGAGACUGAGCACAGGGAGCGAGGGGAGCUGAUAACGUGGCAUAGAGUUACAGAGCCAUCUGUGGAAGUGGCACCAUUACAUCAGCUUUGGGCACAGACCUGCCGUACUGCAAGAGUGUUCUCUGGCAGAGAUGGGCGGCAGCUCAUCACUGAUUUUUGGCAGAAGCAUCUCUCUCCGGUUGAGAUGGGCUGUUCGAGCGGCACCGGGUUCUGCACCGGGCAGUUCUGUACUGCAUGUCCCUGUUAUUCAACCAUCUUGGGGAAAAGCCUUGCCCGCGGCAAAGGCCAAUUUGUGUUCCUCUCAGGGAGGAUAGAGGGGUUUCCUCCUGAGACCGGAGAGGAACAGAUUGUGGAAUUACUAUUGGGCUACAGGAGUACCGGACCUGCAGGCUUCUGGCACAUGAAGAAUCACUGGAGCAUAUGUCGCCAGCAUGAUUCAUUCAUUUACAUUUAUAGAGUGGAAGUGGGCCAGGUAGCACACCGUGGUGACUGUCAACAGCACCUCCAUCUUCACACACUUCACAUACACCCGUCCCACCAUCCGACCAUAUGUCCCGAGAAACACAAUUUCUAAUGGACAAGGACAGCUGUAUCAGCAUACUUAAAGGAGAGAGAGGCCUAACAUGACCUGUCCUGAUCCACAUCCCCAUCUAUUCACAAAGUGGUCCACGAGCCUGCGAUGCAAAGCAAAGCGACAAUGGGAUCAGUCCGCAUUUGCAUUAUGAGCACACAAUGCAUGACACAAGCUUGCCCAGAGAGAUAUUUCUGCUCAGAAAAUAUCUGGCUUCAGAAGGAUGUGUCUGCAGUGCUCAGCAUCACUCCACUGACUAUGUCUCUUGCUUAUUAACAAACCAGCCUGUCACUUUAUAAACCCUGUUUCAGCUUUCCCUCAGCCGCACACACAUACACAUCAUGAAAUACACUUAGACAAUGACAAACACACAAAUUGUCCAGUCAGUUUAAGUGAAACUCUCACUGUGCACGUCAUGUUAGUCACACAGAGCAUGUUGAGGUUUUAAUACAGUAAUGCAUACUAGAAAUGUUAUUAAGAAGGUGGGAAUAAUGAUUAAAAAAUUAAUUAAAAAUUUUGAGGGUUUCCAAAUUCUUUUAUACCCACAAUUAACCAUAAUGCAGCUAUGAUGCUGAAAAAUGUGUCCUAUCUAGUUUGCUUAAAUUUCUUAACAUAAUGUAAUGUAAUGGUAAGAGGACAACUAACGAACCAUGAUAUUUAAGGAUAAAAAGCUGGUAUGGCGUUAAAAAGUGAAUAAAUAAAUAAAUAAAUAAUGAUAAAGAAAUAUC